rnacentral:rRNA from 1 species
GGUGAACGCUGGCGGCGUGCCUAACACAUGCAAGUCGAGCGGUGCAGUUUUGAAGCUUCGGUGGAAAGCUGCAUAGCGGCGGACGGGUGAGGAAAACGUAGGAACGUGCCCCUUGGAGGUUGGAUAGCCACGGGAAACUGUGGGUAAACCGACAUAGACUCGAGAGAGUAAAGGCCGAAAGGCGCCAAGGGAGCGGCCUGCGGCCCAUCAGGGUAGUUGGUAGUGUAAAAGGACUACCAAGCCGACGACGGGUAGCCGGCCUGAGAGGGUGACCGGCCACACUGGGGACUGAGACACGGCCCACGACUCCUACGGGGGGCAGCAGUGGGGAAUAUUGCACGAAUGGGGGAAACCCUGAUGCAAGCAACGGCCGCGUGGGAGGAAGAAGGUUUUCGGAUUGUAAACUCCUGUCUUUUGGGACGAUAAUGACGGUACCAAAAGAGGAAGCCACGGCUAAACUACGUGU